rnacentral:rRNA from 1 species
UACGGGGGGGGCAAGCGUUGUUCGGAAUUACUGGGCGUAAAGGGCUCGUAGGCGGCCAACUAAGUCCGACGUGAAAUCCCCAGGCUUAACUUGGGAACUGCGUCGGAUACUGGUUGGCUUGAAUCCGGGAGAGGGAUGCGGAAUUCCAGGUGUAGCGGUGAAAUGCGUAGAUAUCUGGAGGAACACCGGUGGCGAAGGCGGCAUCCUGGACCGGCAUUGACGCUGAUGAGCGAAAGCCAGGGGAGCAAACGGG